rnacentral:lncRNA from 1 species
AUGGUGUCCUUGAUCACAAAUGCAGAAGGAAGAGGUUCCAGCGAACUGAACUGGCCAAAUGACUGGACUGUGAAGUCUCCCAACGAGCCAGUGAUGGGCCUGACAACAUACACGCCAACGUUCCAUGUUCCCUACUCAUCACAGAGAAGCAUGUUACAAGAGGUGGAAGAAUUUCAGGAUAGUGUCCUCUUGGAAAAUGAGAUGUGAUACAGUAUGUGAUGGAAAACUGAGAGCACGCUUUCCUAAUAAAGCAAAUUGUAAAGAAUGAAAAUAUGAAAAU